rnacentral:rRNA from 1 species
AUACGGAGGGAGCAAGCGUUGUUCGGAAUCACUGGGCGUAAAGCGAGUGUAGGUUGUCAGGUAAGUAGGAUGUGAAAGCCCGGGGCUCAACCCCGGAAUUGCAUUCUAAACUGCCUGGCUAGAGUCCCGGAGAGGGAGGUGGAAUUCCGAGUGUAGAGGUGAAAUUCGUAGAUAUUCGGAGGAACACCAGAGGCGAAGGCGACCUCCUGGACGGUGACCGACACUGAGACUCGAAAGCGUGGGGAGCAAACAGGAUUAGAUACCCCAGUAGUCC